UACGGAGGGGGCUAGCGUUGUUCGGAAUUACUGGGCGUAAAGCGCACGUAGGCGGCUUUGUAAGUUAGAGGUGAAAGCCCGGAGCUCAACUCCGGAAUUGCCUUUAAGACUGCAUCGCUAGAAUUGUGGAGAGGUAAGUGGAAUUCCGAGUGUAGAGGUGAAAUUCGUAGAUAUUCGGAAGAACACCAGUGGCGAAGGCGACUUACUGGACACAUAUUGACGCUGAGGUGCGAAAGCCAGGGGAGCAAACGGG
rnacentral:rRNA from 1 species